rnacentral:piRNA from 1 species
UACAGCUGUCCGGUAAACCUGAACAUGGGU